rnacentral:rRNA from 1 species
UGGGGAAUAUUGCACAAUGGGGGAAACCCUGAUGCAGCGACGCCGCGUGAACGAAGAAGGUAUUCGUAUCGUAAAGUUCUGUCCUAUGGGAAGAUAAUGACAGUACCAUAGAAGAAAGCUCCGGCUAAAUACGUGCCAGCAGCCGCGGUAAUACGGAUGGAGCGAGCGUUGUCCGGAAUUAUUCGGCGUAAAGGGUACGCAGGCGGUUUAAUAAGUCGAAUGUUAAAGAUCGGGGCUCAACCCCGCAAAGCAUUGGAAACUGAUAAACUUGAGUAGUGGAGAGGAAAGUGGAAUUCAUAGUGUAGUGGUGAAGUACGUAGAUAAUAGUAGGAAUACCACUAGCGAAGGAGACUUUCUGGACACAAACUUACGCUGAGGUACGAAAGCGUGGGGAGCAAACAGG